GUGCUUAACACAUGCAAGUCGAACGAAGCACUCUAUUUGAUUCUCUUCGGAAAUGAAGAUAUUGUGACUGAGUGGCGGACGGGUGAGUAACGCGUGGGUAACCUGCCUCAUACAGGGGGAUAACAGUUGGAAACGACUGCUAAUACCGCAUAAGCGCACAGGAUUGCAUGAUCCGGUGUGAAAAACUCCGGUGGUAUGAGAUGGACCCGCGUCUGAUUAGCCAGUUGGCAGGGUAACGGCCUACCAAAGCGACGAUCAGUAGCCGACCUGAGAGGGUGACCGGCCACAUUGGGACUGAGACACGGCCCAAACUCCUACGGGAGGCAGCAGUGGGGAAUAUUGCACAAUGGGGGAAACCCUGAUGCAGCGACGCCGCGUGAGCGAAGAAGUAUUUCGGUAUGUAAAGCUCUAUCAGCAGGGAAGAAGAAUGACGGUACCUGACUAAGAAGCACCGGCUAAAUACGUGCCAGCAGCCGCGGUAAUACGUAUGGUGCAAGCGUUGUCCGGAUUUACUGGGUGUAAAGGGAGCGCAGGCGGUGCGGCAAGUCUGAUGUGAAAGCCCGGGGCUCAACCC
rnacentral:rRNA from 1 species